AUCUCGUUAAAGUGCAGACUCUGACUCAGUAGGUCUGGGGUGGAGCCCAAAAUUCUGCAUUUCUAACAAGCUC
rnacentral:pre_miRNA from 14 species